rnacentral:rRNA from 1 species
UACGUAGGUGGCAAGCGUUGUCCGGAUUUACUGGGCGUAAAGAGCGCGCAGGCGGUCGUUCAAGUCGCGUGUGAAAGCCCCCGGCUCAACCCUGGGAUGCCGGUCGAUACUGCCGGACUAGAGUUCGGAAGAGGGCGAAGUGGAAUUCCCGGUGUAGCGGUGAAAAUGCGCAGAUAUCGGGAGGAACACCAAUGGCGAAGGCAAGCUCGCUGGGACGUUACUGACGCUGAGACGCGAAAAGCGUGGGGAGCAACAGGG